rnacentral:lncRNA from 1 species
GCGCCAUUUACAAUGCGAGCGGUAGGCCAUUUGCUGCAGCGAAGACGAACUAUGGAUAAAAAUGUAAAACUUUUAUUUUUUAUGUUUUAUUUCAUAAGUAAAAACAAUCUCCCUGGACUAUGUGACUCAGCAGUACUUAUGGAAAACAUUCAAAUUUCAUGCAAGAAUUUAAAAUUAAAUGGAAAGUAUGUUUAUAACAUUGGAGCACGCUGGCUCAAACAUGAACUACAGCAGGAGGAAUGGAGAAAUGAACAGACAGAGAACGAAGGUCGUGGACAGGCGUUGGUCUCGCAAGGCACGGACGUUGUUUUCCAGCGUGAAGCACAUCUCAGGAAGCGGGUGAGCAAACAGGGGUCAGAAGCCAGGAAAGUCAGAAACACUGAACAGGGAAGAGGGUACUGGGGAUCACAAGCCGAGCAGGUAGGCAACCCUGUGCGGGUGACGGCGCUCCCUUUAUACCUGGUCGUGCUGAUCAGCAGCAGGUGAGGUCGCUUGGCUUGCCGAUGAGCGCAUGACAAGCACGGCACAAAAGUAGAGAGGAGCGUCAAACUCACUUAAUUGUCCUUCUGCCUAUAGGCAAGUUACACAUCUAGGAGAACGAAAUUCCGUUUUCUCCUUGGACCUCCGUGCCACAUGAACCACACAGUGCAGUUUGUAAAAAAAGAUAAAUACAACAGGCGAGUGCAGAAACAAGACAAGAUAGUGCAGUACGCAGGCCGCUUUCUGGCGGCAAUGUACAUAAUAUAUAAUAUACACAGGCAAUGUACACAACACAUUAAAAACAUUUCUGUAAAAUAUAAGAGUAGAGACUAGAGAUGCCAGGACAGCUAGCUAGCUACAGGAGCAGCAAUAAGUUAAACUGCUUAAUAAGUUAUUCAUCAUCAUCAUCAUCUGAACUGCUUGUCCCAUACGGGGUCGUGGGGAGCCGGAGCCUAACCCGGCAACACAGGGCGUAAGGCUGGAGGGGGGAGGGGACACACCCAGGAUGGGACGCCAGUCCAUCACAAGGCACCCGAAGCGGGACUCGAACCCCAGACCCACCAGAGAGCAGGACCCAGCCCAACCCACCGUGCCACCACACCCCCCUGAUAAGUUAUUUGUUUCUUCAAAUGAGUUAUUUGUUUAUUUCCAGCAUAGUCUGUUGGUUGUAAGUGGUUUUCGGAAGAGAAUGAAUGCUCCUGCUAGCCAUUUCAGACGAACAAGAAGAUAAUGGCACCAGUACGUUAGGUCCGUGAGAGGCCACUGCGUCUGUACGCACCACCGUCUUGGUUUAACCACUAUGCAAAGGAUAUGGUGGCCUUACAAUAUGAACUAAAAAUCAUGUUAAGCACCUGCUGUAUCCACCAAAUGAAUACUGUAAGUGCUGCAGAAUCAGUCCUACUCGAUACAGCGGCUACAGAUAUUGAGCAUCUCUAGUCCUUGUAUAUCUACGUAUACUGUAGGUUUUACUUUGUCUCCCUGUGAUCCCACAGCCUAAUAUUCUGGC